UACAGAGGUCUCAAGCGUUGUUCGGAUUCAUUGGGCGUAAAGGGUGCGUAGGCGGCGCGGUAAGUCGGGUGUGAAAUCUUGGAGCUUAACUCCGAAACUGCAUUCGAUACUGCCGUGCUUGAGGACUGGAGAGGAGACUGGAAUUUACGGUGUAGCGGUGAAAUGCGUAGAUAUCGUAAGGAAGACCAGUGGCGAAGGCGGGUCUCUGGACAGUUCCUGACGCUGAUGCGCGAAAGCCAGGGGAGCGAACGGG
rnacentral:rRNA from 1 species